GGGCAGUGGUGGGAAGGCUGGCGCGAGGCGUGAGGUGGCGUGAGGCGAAGCUGGAAUCUGCCUCUGUCACGGGGGCUGGUGCCUCACGGGUUUGUGUCCUAGACAGGUAUUGGUUUGCCUUAAAAAGGGGUUACCAUGCAGCUUUUAAAUAUGACAGCAAUACUAGUAACUUCGUGGAAGAACAAAUUGAUCUACAUAAAGAAGUUAUAGAUAGAGUGACUGAUUUGAGCAUGCUCAGACUAUUUGAGACCUACCUGGAAGGCUGCCCACAACUUAUUCUUCAACUCUACAUUCUUCUGGAGCAUGGACAAGCGAAUUUCAGUCAGUUGUAAUAUUAGGAAAUGGAGAAGAUCAUAUAAAUGCCGCAGUUCAGACUGAAUCUGAAAAAUGGAGUUUGAAACAUGUAAAAGAAGUCUGGGGCAACCAUAACCAGGAUGUUUCUGAUUGACACCUACUCCCUCAUCCUAGUCCCAUCUGAGUUUGUGUAACUAAGAAUUCCGGCAUAGUGUUGAGAAGAAGUGGUGAAAGAGGACAUACUUGCCUUUUUCUUGAUUUCAGAAGGAAAGCUUCUAAUUUCUCACUAUUAGUACUAGAGUCAACAGCUGUUCUGAUGAAAUAGACGUGGUCCUCCAUUCACCACAAAGGCAGAGGUCAAGACUGACAGCAACUGCGCAUCACCAGGCGGAAAUUGCUAAGUUCUGGAGGCCGGCGCUGAUGCGAGACUGGGGCCUGCUGGAUCUGUCCCUGGUCACAGAGCAGCUGUGCGCUGUCAAAGUGCCGAGCGCUGUUACAGGUUUUUGCAGUUGUUGUUAUUUAAACCUCAAUCUAAAAAUCUAGUUUAAGAAGUGGGAAUGUUUGUGAUACACGUGAAUAAACCAAGGGGAAGAACUCAGAAGUUACAUCAUCCAUGAAGGGUGAAAAUGUGAUGAACUUUCACUGCUCCAAAGCACUAUAGUUGAAUUAAAGACCCUGAAAGUCUGAUGUAGUCUUGUAAAACUCCUUCUCAAAUAAAUGUCAGAUAAUUUGAGGUAGUGCAGCAAGAUGGUACCUGCCUUACCCAGGCAUCUAAUGUUCAAUGAAGCACUUUCCUGGAGGAAAACUGGAAUAAAGGUGUUGUAGAUCUCUUUUACCCGUCUGUAGCGGAAGGCCAACUUUCUCAUCCAGUCCACACCGCCCCGUACACCAGUUGCCAAACAUAAGUUAGCACUGGUUGCUGCAGCAGGAAAGCCAUCUGUUCCAAAGUUAUAUGUGCUAUUUAUAUGCAAGAAAAGCCCAAAGUUAGCCGAACAGAAAGUCCAUCUUAAUUAGAUCUAUUAUUCCUGCUGAGAGAAUCUACUAAAGAAGAAUUUUUCAUAGUGACAGCAACUCUAGGCUUGCUGUGAAUAAUCACAAUGUCAUAAAAAUCAUUCUUUUUAUUGCAAACUUGCUGCCAGAAGCAUGGAAAAAUAUUCAGACCGAGAGAACUUUCAUCCUUUUCUGCAACGGCUUUCUUUUAACUUUCAUGGCCAUUUGCAGAAAGUGAAUCGCAUACCAAUUUAUUCACAAAGCAUUUAACUAGAGCUUUCAUUUGCACAAAAAUAUUUGUUUCGCUCAUAUAAAACAAUGAACUAUAAGCUCCAAUAUUAAAUAGGUCAUACAUUAUUUUUUUUUCUGGAGCAAUUUCCCACUCCUCCUAAAAUCAUUUGCAACAAAUAUUAGUUUCUGUUUAAUGCCAUUACAUGUCUAUAGAUUCAUCUUUAACUACAAACUAUAUGUCAAUGCAUUUUGUAAAGAAAUAUUUUCUUGUAAUUAACCUUUUUAAAUGUCUUUUUCUUUUGCAGGGGUGAGAGUGGGGUUGAAAUUUUGAAGUUUAAAAGAGGCUAAUUUAUGAACUUCAGUUAACUUAUACUGCUAGAUAAUUUUCUAAUAGUAAGAAACACUCAAUUUUGCAUAAAAGAACAUACAGCUCAGAAUAAAUCAGGCCCAAUCAUAUCCUUAGUUAAUAAGUUAAUAAAGAUUUUUCCAAGCUGAUUUUCUCUGCCAUGUAAUUAUUACUGACUCCAGAAAGAAAAAUAUGCAGAACCGGACAUAGGCACUUUUUAAAAAGCAGUUCCCUGUGAGCUGCAGGAAGGGUUCCAUCAUCACCUCCCUCACUGUCAGACCCUGGCGGCGAGGAGAGGACCUUGGAGGGGCACUUUCCUACUCAAAAAAUUCUCUCCUCUAAGUAUCCGUGGGUCUGAAAUUCCACCACACAAAAUCAUCCCUUCUGAAUCUUCUUUUGUAAGACAAAGACUUCAGGUAAGAGUGAACUAUUUAAGCUCCAUUGCCUUGGUGUGAACUGCACUAUGAGAUAAAUUUCUUCCAGCAUGGGGAGCCCUGGUGUGCCUGCCCCCAAAUCAUUGGGUGUUAAAAGGGGAAAUGGAGUUGGCUGCCCGAAAGGAAAAAAAAAAGGGAAAGUUUUGUCUAUACUCAUAAUUUCACUCCCUAUAAAAACAUCCCUCUUCUCAAGAAGUAUAAUUUAGAGCUAUAAAUAAUCAUGCUUUGGUUGUUUAUAUGUUAUUCAGGAAAAUAUUAUGUAUCAUUAGAAUAGCAUGAGUAUUAUGUGUGUUAUAUAUUAA
ensembl:lncRNA novel transcript